UCUAGUGAGAGCGCAGUGUUCAGUGAUGUCCGGGGACACUAUCUCACUGAUGAGUCUGUAUGGCCGGAGCCUGUGUGCACGUACGAUAGUCCUGGGACACACACCAACGCCGGAGCGCUUGGUGGCUGGGUACGGCAAAGAUUAAUAGUUCUCCAACAGCUAGGGCUCGGCACACGGAUGCACCACUAGAGCCACCACUAGCUGGUUCCACACUUAAUAUAAUCACACAAAUGUGCCCGAUGGGCGCGUGGAAUGCCAGACAACACCCAGGAGCUCGGAAGCUCCGCACUGAAAGGGGUGCUUCGGCUACGAAUCCUGACUCACUGCUAGCCAGAUCAACCACGCCAAAAGCUCACAAGCUGGAUAAUAACAGCAGCUUUGCGGCAAAUCAAAAGAAAAUAAGAACGCGACAAGUAGGCACUGAUGCCACGGAUGGCUGCCGCCGGAGGGUUGACGCGCCCGCGCUCCUCACGCUGGUCGGAACCAGGCGAAGAAGUAACUUGAGGUCGAUUAACACUGCGUAUUUACAGAGACUUAAAUGCUCGCAACAACGGUGGUACGACAGCAAGUGAACUCCAACAUACCGAGCAUCUGCACAACUCAGUCCCUCUCUCUCAAUAUCAUUUUAACGUCUCUUCGCUAAGGUAGCGAGUAGAGACAACCAAGAGCCAGCCAAACUACACCGACCCACCGGAGCCAAGAAACAACGAAGCGUACCCAGUAAUGGAAAACGAGGUAUGAAAUUUGUUUCCUUAUUGGCCAGCCUUUGCCCAGUCAUCGGCAUCUGGGCCGCAAGAGCGGUGUCGGCGGGUUGACCGGCUGAGAGAAGGCGCGACUGAAGGCGCUCCUUGCCUUCGUCGGGAUUUAAGCGACUAAUAGCGUCUUUGUCAUCUUAAUUCGUGCUAGUUUUGAGCAAUGGCUGAUAAGGAAAGCAUGCAAGCAUACUGGGUCAACCGACCCAUCAUAACAAGCAGCGACCGACGGACCAGUUAGACACACCUAGAAGAGCGACAAGUCAUCCUUGUGAAUGGUUCAUUGCAAUGAAGCGAAGGCAGAGAACCCGUCUCAGAGCCGGACCAAGUUCAUCGCAUCUGACUUUCCGACCUUGUUUGACUUGCUUGUAGUCGGCACCGGCGAGGCGCGUGAUUGAACGCGACGGGGAGGAGAUGAAUCCCCCAGACAGACCGGUG
rnacentral:lncRNA from 1 species